UGCGCCUUGCUUGCCACACGCGCCCGCACAAACACGUUGCAUGCACCAACCAAAGCGACGAGAUUAUACCGACAAUACACAGGUGCAUUUCAAUGUAAACAGUUGGUGAACGGUGUGCGGUAACAACAGGUACUACAACUGACUUUGCCUCCCCAGGUGGGUCUUAUGGAAACGGAGGCAAAGCAAAGACACGGACGAACGAAACAACAGAACAAUGUUUCCGGAAUCGGAAUAGGGUCCCUCUCCCUCUCCUCCCCGGUGAUGUGCCGGGGAGGCAGGUGAUAGAUAGCUAAGGAGGCUGCCCCCUCCCUCCGGUUCGCCAUGGACGACAGCCUCGGCGAGGGGGGAGGGGAGCCUUUUUAGGUGUUCUUAACGAAUGCAAUGGAACGAAUGGCGGCUGGGAGGAUCAUCCUACUCCUUGGAGUUGCGGUAGAAGUCGACGCAGGUCUGGCAUCCGCAGUCGGUGAAGCGGCACAUCUCGCACCCGAAGCACACGCACUUCUCGCAGCCCGCGCACGACGCAGCGCGGGAGCAGCCCUUGAUCACCUUGCGGCUCCCUCG
rnacentral:lncRNA from 1 species